rnacentral:snRNA from 1 species
GCGGUCCAGAAUACAGCGG